UCCUCAAUAGCUCAAUGGUAGAGCAAUCGGCUGUUAACCGAUCGGUCGUAGGUUCGAAUCCUACUUGGGGAG
rnacentral:tRNA from 1 species